rnacentral:rRNA from 1 species
GAUGAACGCUGACAGAAUGCUUAACACAUGCAAGUCUACUUGAACUUCGGUUUGGGUGGCGGACGGGUGAGUCACGCGUAAAGAACUUGCCUCACAGAUAGGGACAACAUUUGGAAACGAAUGCUAAUACCUGAUAUUAUGAUUUUAAGGCAUCCUAGAAUUAUGAAAGCUAUAUGCACUGUGAGAGAGCUUUGCGUCCCAUUAGCUAGUUGGAGAGGUAACGGCUCACCAAGGCGAUGAUGGGUAGCCGGCCUGAGAGGGUGAUCGGCCACAAGGGGACUGAGACACGGCCCUUACUCCUACGGGAGGCAGCAGUGGGGAAUAUGGGACAAUGGACCAAGAGUCUGAUCCAGCAAUUCUGUGUGCACGAUGAAGUUUUUCGGAAUGUAAAGUGCUUUCAGUUGGGAAGAAAAAAAUGACGGUACCAACAGAAGAAGUGACGGCUAAAUACGUG